rnacentral:misc_RNA from 1 species
GAUGAAGAACGUAGCGAAAUGCGAUAAGUAAUGUGAAUUGCAGAAUUCAGUGAAUCAUCGAAUCUUUGAACGCACAUUGCGCCCGCCAGUAUUCUGGCGGGCAUGCCUGUUCGAGCGUCAUUUCAACCAUCAAGCCCCCGGCUUGUGUUGGGGACCUGCGGCUGCCGCAGGCCCUGAAAACCAGUGGCGGGCUCGCUAGUCACUCCGAGCGUAGUAAUACAUCUCGCUCAGGGCGUGCUGCGGGUUCCGGCCGUUAAAAAGCCUUAUUUACCCAAGGUUGACCUCGGAUCAGGUAGGAAGACCCGCUGAACUUAAGCAUAUCAAUAAGCGGAGUA